rnacentral:rRNA from 1 species
GAUGAACGCUGGCGGCGUGCCUAAGACAUGCAAGUCGAGCGAACAGACGAGCAGCUUGCUCCUCGGAAGUUAGCGACGGGUGGGUGAGUAACACGUGGAUAACCUACCUAUAAGACUAGGAUAACUUCGGGAAACCGGAGCCAACACCGGAUAAUAUAUUGAACCGCAUGGUUCAAUAGUCAAAGACGGUUUUGCUGUCACUUAUAGAUGGAUCCGCGUCGCAUUAGCUAGUUGGUAAGGUAACGGCUUACCAAGGCAACGAUGCGUAGCCGACCUGAGAGGGUGAUCAGCCACACUGGAACUGAGACACGGCCCAGACUCCUACGGGAGGCAGCAGUAGGGAAUCUUCGGCAAUGGGCGACAGCUUGACGGAGCCACGCCGCGUGAGUGAUGACGGUCUUCGGAUCGGAAAACACUGUUAGUAGGGAAGAACAGAUGUGUGAGUAACUAUGUAGGUUUUGACGGUACCUAAUGAGUAGGCCAGGGCUAGCUACGUG